UGAUAGAGGCGCGGCAUUUAUCAGUAGCGGAGGCAACAGCGGCAGGGGCCCGGCUUUCGCCAAAGGAAAUGCUGCCGAAACGGUUUGCCACCCCGAAGGGCGUGCCGUUGGGCCGAUGCAGAAUAUGUAUCGGACUGUCACUUUCCGUGGAGCGCUAUCA
rnacentral:ncRNA from 1 species